AUUGAACGCUAGCGGGAUGCCUUACACAUGCAAGUCGAACGGAGUGGCGAACGGGUGAGUAAUGUAUCGGAACGUGCCCAGUAGCGGGGGAUAACUACGCGAAAGCGUAGCUAAUACCGCCUACUAUUGGAGCGGCCGAUAUCGGAUUAGCGAGUGGGUGGGGUAACGGCCGACCAAGGCGACGAUACGUAGCGGGGUUGAGAGGACGACCAGCCACACGUGGACUUGGACAGGGCCCAGACGCCUACGGGAGGCAGCAGUGGGGAAUUUUGGACAAGGGGGGAAACCCUGAUGCAGCCAUCCCGCGUGUGGGAUGAAGGCCUUCGGGUUGGAAAGCACUUUUGGCAGGAAAGCGGUACCUGCAGAAUAAGCACCGGCUAACUACGUGCCAGCAGCCGCGGUAAUAC
rnacentral:rRNA from 1 species